rnacentral:lncRNA from 1 species
AUUCACAACACUAGAAGGUUCACAAAGCAAAAAUGAGAGCAUUCCAUCAAAUUCUUGUCGGGGAGACCAUUCAACGUUACCAAGCGGCGAGUCCCGGGGCGCUUUUGUGUGGAUCCCACCGUGUAUAUUGUAUUGGGCCCCACCCGGGUGAGCUACCCAAGUUGUUCUUCUUCUUAGGACAUGGCAGGGGACAGGUCCUAAAGCUAAAGCAAGAGGUUGAUAGGUAACCAAGACCCACUAUGCGUAUAACAGCGACAACCACAAACCAUAGACACAGGGGAAAGAUGAUCAACU